rnacentral:tRNA from 1 species
GUCCAUAUGGCGGAAUUUGGCAGACGCGCGUGAUUUAGGCUCACGUGCUGAAAGGCAUGAGAGUUCAAAUCUCUCUAUGGACA